rnacentral:rRNA from 1 species
GACGGAGGAUGCAAGCGUUAUCCGGAAUGAUUGGGCGUAUAGCGUUCGCAGGUGGCUAUUCAAGUCUGCUGUCAAAGACCGGGGCUUAACCCCAGAGAGGCAGUGGGAACUGAAUGGCUGGAGAGCAGAUCGGGUAGAGGGAAUUCCCAGGGUAGCGGUGAAAUGCGUAGAGAUUGGGAAGAACACCGGUGGCGAAAGCGCUCUGCUGGACUGCAACUGACACUGAGGGACGAAAGCUAGGGGAGCGAAAGGG